UGCAGAGCCCUCCUAACACAGCGGGAACGCCAGCAAGCCUAAGAAGGGAAAUUUCUGAAGUGAGUGAGGAGCACUCCAAGAACAGGAACACCGAACCUCAAGCUCUUAAGAAAGCAGGCGUGCAGACACCACCCAGCACUGUGGUUCGACCCAAGAUAUUCAUCACUAUUCAGAAAGAUAUUUGUUGCUUACUUGCUUUCUUCAUCCAGAAGAUAGAAGAGACCUGUGGGCUUCUUGCUGAUUAAGUGAAUGCAGGCC